UACGUAGGGUGCAAGCGUUGUCCGGAAUUAUUGGGCGUAAAGAGCUCGUAGGCGGUCUGUCGCGUCGGCUGUGAAAUCCCGGAGCUCAACUCCGGGUCUGCAGUCGAUACGGGCAAACUGGAGUACUGCAGGGGAGACUGGAAUUCCUGGUGUAGCAGUGAAAUGCGUAGAUAUCGUAAGGAAGACCAGUGGCGAAGGCGGGUCUCUGGACAGUUCCUGACACUGAGACACGAAGGCCAGGGGAGCAAACGGG
rnacentral:rRNA from 1 species